rnacentral:lncRNA from 1 species
CGGGUGAACCCGCUGGGCUGGGGACGCGGACCCUCGCGCGUGGGUGUACUGUCGGCUCCUCUUGGCCCCCCUCUAAAGUUGUACCCGGUAUCUGGGGUAGGGGGAGACGGAUAGGCUCACCUGCUGGAAGUGUGUUUACUCGGGCGAAAGAGCGAGUCAUUGGCCAGCCACUCCCCCCUGGCUGGGGAGCGACACGCCGGCCGACCUUGGGCUCCCCCGGGACUGCGACUGUCCCUGAAGCUGCCCCAAGCGUCUUCCGAGUCCUAGGACUCGGGGGUGUGAUAAAAGCCACUACCCUCUCCUCCGGCCCUUUUAAUUCGGGCAGAAGAGGGCUACUGAGAAUCAAGACCCAAACUUUGUUUGACACAGUACAACUGACUUUCCAGGGCUUUUUAAAACUCGUCUUGCGCACGCGGUUAAUGGUGGGUUCCUGAGGACGCCUCCGGGGAGCAGGGCUGGACCGGCCGGCCCGCGAGUGGGGCGCGCAGUGGCCCCGGGGCACAGGGACAGCCCUGGUCUUCUUGGGCCGGGGUCGGGCCCAGCUUGCGCGUAACGGCCCAGGACAGUCCCGGCGCGCUGGCCCCUACUCUCGUGGGUGGCCGCGGUGGGAGGCGCGGGAGUCCCUGCGCUCGGCCGGGCUCCAUGUUCCCGACCCGCUCCAGCCCGGGGAAGCUCUGGCCGGUGGCCCGGCAGAGGGCGCCCGCUCCCGAUCCCCGCGCCGGCCGGAGGAGGGAGGGCACUCGAGUGAGGCUCCAGGUGAGGAGCUGUGAAUCAUCCCGGGAGGGGGACCCUGUCCUCUGGGAAAGCAGGCAGGGAGUGGCCGCGGCGCUGUCGAGAGUCCGGGCUGCCCAGCGGCUGUCGGGCCAGGAGCGGCAGCUGUGCCCCGGGAGGUCUGGGGGAAGCUCGGAAAGAAGGUGAGCAGCGUCCCUCCGCACGGUGGCCGAGGGCAGGGAUCAGCUGCACAGAGCUCCGGCGGGCAGACAGUAGGACGCUCCGCGGCGCGCCCUCCCCUGGGGGCAGGAGGUGAGGUUAGUUAGACUUGGGCUUGGGGCGGUCCUGCUGGCGGAGGCUGAUCUCCGGACCGCCGCGAUGGGGCGCUCCCGGGGGCGGGGGCCCG